UACGUAGGGGGCGAGCGUUAUCCGGAUUCACUGGGUGUAAAGGGAGCGUAGACGGCCAAGCAAGCCAGGGGUGAAAGCCCGGGGCCCAACCCCGGGACUGCCCUUGGAACUGCAUGGCUGGAGUGCGGGAGGGGCAGGCGGAAUUCCUGGUGUAGCGGUGAAAUGCGUAGAUAUCACGCAGAACUCCGAUUGCGAAGGCAGCAUACCGGCGCCCGACUGACGCUGAGGCACGAAAGCGUGGGGAUCGAACAGG
rnacentral:rRNA from 1 species